rfam:Aedes albopictus isolate Foshan contig114714, whole genome shotgun sequence.
UGUUCUGUGGCUUAGUUGGUUAAAGCGCCGGUCUAGCGAAUACGGAGUCGUGGGUUUGAAUCCCACCAGAACGC